rnacentral:rRNA from 1 species
UACAGAGGGCGCGAGCGUUGUCCGGAAUCACUGGGCGUAAAGGGCGCGUAGGUGGCCACUAUAAGGCCGCGGUGAAAGUUCGGGGCUCAACCCUGAAUCUGCCGCGGCGACUGUAGGGCUAGGGCACCGUAGAGGCAGAUGGAAUUCCGGGUGUAGCGGUGGAAUGCGUAGAUACCAGGAGGAACACCGGUGGCGAAAGCGACUCUCUGGACGGCAACUGACGCUGAGGCACGAAAGCGUGGGGAGCAAACAGG